AAUACUGUAAAACGCAACGGACUUGUUUAGGGAGGGUAUAAACCCCAUAAAUCGAGCUUUAGCUUAGUGAUGUAGGAUACAAUAGGAGUCAUUACAUUCCACCCCUAUGUCCAUGGCCACCAUAUACUAAUUGUAUCCGAGAUGGCUAAGCUAAAAAAUGAUUAAUACAUUUAUAGCCAGUAGGGUUCGGGCAUCCCGGUUUUAAGGGUAUGUUCUACUUUUACCCAAACUGGUCCUAACAAAAAUCACAAAACAAAAGAUACGCCAAAAAUAUUAAACUUAGACAAGUAAUUACCCAGUUCUUUCGUCAUCGAAGGAGACCCAUUAGCAUCGAAGGCGUGAGGGAUUGUAAAGUGAGAGCGAGAGUCCAUUAUUGGAAAGAGGGUUCGGAGGAGAUGCGACUUACGAAGGCGAGCGGGGAGAAGAACCGGUUGAGAGAGGUUAAAUCGUGUUCUGGACAACCAAGCUGGGGUUAAGGUAGAAGAAUUAAAGAUACGAUGACGAAUCGAAACCUCCAUGUAGUAGGCGGCUGCCACGGGUGGUGCUCGGAGGAGUGAGUGGCGGAGGAAGGGAAUAGCACUCCUCAACUAAAUACGUACUAUACACGUGUGCAAUUUUGAAAAUUAAAAAAGUCCAUAGGGUUUAUGGGAAUUGACUUUUUUUUUAUGUGAGCCACCUAUUCUUAAAAGAAAAUCAAAUAUGAUGAUUAGAAUAGUGAAAUAAUGGUCAAAAAAUUAAUUUUUUUUGAAGAAAAAUACUCUCCAAACGAGCUCUUAAGUUAACUUUUAAUUUUUAUUAACUUUUUAACCAUGAAUUUCACAAUUUUUUUCAAAAUUUUCUAAAAUUAUCAUUUUUAACAAAAUCAAACAGGGACUGGAAUUGUUUACUUAUGAAAGUAACUUUUACUUACUCCUUGUUUGCUCCCAUUAUUUUCAAAAGAUACAUUUUCCUAUAUUUUAAUUUCAAUCACACAUUUUUCAUAAAAUAAUAUCACACACAAAUUUAAAAUUUUUUUUUAUUUUUUAACUAUACAUUCUCCAUCAAAUUAUUAUUCCCAAAGAAUAAUAUUAUGUAACUUCACUGAGAUUGCAUCCCUAAUUUAGAUGUCAUUAGAUGAUAGAUUAAAUAAAAUGUGAAAUUAAAUAAGUAAUCUAAUUUCACUUAUUAUUUUAAUGUCACAUUACCGCCACCUAAACUGGAUUUGGAACUCCAGUGAAGCCAAAUAGAAUUACUCUGUUACAAAAUGUAUUUAUAGAGGUGUAGAAUGUAUUUUGGAAUAGUAUGAUUGAUGAAGAAUGUGUAGUUAAAAAAUAAAAAAAAUCGAUCAACGUGUAAUAUUAUUUCAUUGAAAAAUAUUUAGUUAAAAAGAAGCAAAAGAAACAUAUAUGUUGAAAUUAAUGGGCAUCAAAUAAGGGCUUGGUCUUUAAAUAAGAAUGGGGGGUGUUAUAUCCAGAAUGUACUAAACAUAGAAAUAUUGUAAAGACAAAUGUAAUAGGACCAUAGGAGUUGCAAAGUGGACAUUACACUAGCUUGGUUUUAGAGAACAAGGCAUUAAGUCCUUGUUCGAUAUCCAUUAUAAAGAUAAAUUUUGGUAAAAUAUAUUAUGAAAAUAGUAUUUUUUGGAAGAAUAUGUGGUUAAAAAUGAAUGAAAAUUUUUCUAUUUACAUGUAAUAUAAUUUUAUUGAAGAAUAUGUGGUUGAAAAGAAGAGAUAGAAAAAUGUAUUAAAAUUCUAAAGGAUGCCAAACAAAGGCAAAAAUUAGAGCUUCUUGUUUCUUAGAUUGAGCUAUUGAAGCAAUGUGCCGGACUAUAAUCGAUCACUUUUUGAAGAAAUGAUAACACAUGGAUAAGAGUUGCGAUAGAAACUUCCAUUAUUGAAAAUCAUAUCAGAAUAUAAGUUUCUUUAGGACUAUAAUCUUAUCUUAAUAACUUUUGUCGAUAACAUGCCUAAUCUUUAUCCGGAAUAAAGUUUGUUAUGUAUCAAUGAACAUUUUUAUUUCACAUGACAUAUACAAAAUGUUGGAAAUAAUCAACUUGGGUAAUUGGCACAAAACGUCCCUACCUUUCAAGUCUAUUGUGGAAAAAGUCUCUAUCUUUCAUUUUUUGACAUUUUUGCCCCUAUUUUCAAAUUUCUUUGCACUGAACGUCCUUUUUACCAAUUUUUGACAUAAAAUGACUAAAAUACCCUUCUAUUUAAAUAAAACAAAAAAGAAAAGAAAAGAAAAAUAAAAAUAAAUUGCAACUAUAAGCCUAAACUUUUAAAAAUGCAAAAAACCCCCCUAAAUAUAACUUCAUCUUCUUCCCAAACAUCACCCCCACAAUACAGCCGCCGUCCACCUCACCAACCACCGCCUGAAACAUCAUUUUUAGGCUGCCUUUUGAGCAGGUUUUGGACAAUCAGUCGGAUUUGAAUUUGCAAACUGGGAGAUGCCAGUUCGAUCAACUUACAUAACACAAAAUAAAUCCAACUUCCAAAUCAAAACUCAUGCAACAAAUCAAAAAAUUUAAAUUAAGAUCAAUAAAAAUAAAGACAAUUACCCAGUUCUUUCGUCAUCGAAGGAGACCCAUUAGCAUCGAAGGCGUGAGGGAUUGUAAAGUGAGAGCGAGAGUCCAUUAUUGGAAAGAGGGUUCGGAGGAGAUGCGACUUACGAAGGCGAGCGGGGAGAAGAACCGGUUGAGAGAGGUUAAAUCGUGUUCUGGACAACCAAGCUGGGGUUAAGGUAGAAGAAUUAAAGAUACGAUGACGAAUCGAAACCUCCAUGUAGUAGGCGGCUGCCACGGGUGGUGCUCGGAGGAGUGAGUGGCGGAGGAAGGGAAUAGCACUCCUCAACUAAAUACGUACUAUACACGUGU
rnacentral:lncRNA from 1 species